GGCAUUCAAGCAGCCCUGAGGAGAGGUCCACAUGGUGAGCCACUGAGGGCCUUGCCAAGAGCCAGCACCAACGGUCCAGGUUUGGAGUGUACCACCUUGGAAGUGAAUCUUCCAGUCCAGUCAAGCCUUCAGAUGACUUCAGAACCGUCCAUGUAAGCCACUCUUGGAUUCCUGACCCACAGAAACUGUUGGAGAACAUCACCACUUUGUAACCCCCAAUAAAUUAAUGGAUUUAGGCAUUAUCAACAGUUUCUAACAUCACAGACAGACAAACAUGUGCCUCCUGAUUGAAAAAACAGAACAUCACCUGUAGUCUUGCCAGUGAGAUCAAACUGAAGUCCAAUUAACCUCUGGAUCCAGCUGCCAAUUUGCAGGAAAUAGAGGAGAGAAGCAUCUGUUGAACUGCACCAUGAGUAUACACUCAGCAAAGGCCAAACUGUGGAAAAUGAUACAGGUCAAACAGCCUGGAUUCUUUAACAGUGAUGUUUCUGAAGCACCAAUGAAAAUGAAGUCCUGAAGUCCUGUGCUCAAUAUGAAAUGUUGGAAGUUAGAAGAAAAAAACAAAACUUGGAUCCAAUCUCAAGGCACUUUUUGUUUAAUGGGAAGAAGUGGAUUAUUUUAAAAGCUACAAAUAAAGUUACAUAAAAGUAGCAAA
rnacentral:lncRNA from 1 species